AGAGACCACUAUGGUGAAGCAACCAAAUGCAAUUGAUUUAUUCAUUGAUUUGAUUGUUGUUUGAUCACUGACACAACACUGAAGUCUGGACCUGAUAUGGUACUUUAGGUCAAGGUUCAAGUCAUAGGCUAUCAGCAACCAAGGUCCCUAUAACAAUCUAAUAACAACUUCACCAGUAUUAACAACACACAAUGUAUGGGGCUUUUACAGAGCAGAAGAUACAAAGCAGGCCAUGGAAACACAGAAUUGAGUAGGCCAAAUUACUUUAUCCUUAAAUAGGUAUAUACUACUUAUCUGAAAAUACAUUACCCUAAAGAGAAUUGACAUCCUUAUGAUGCAUGUGAAGUGUAGGGCAACAGGUAGCCUUGCAGUUAAUUAAGAGCUUUGGGCUAGUAACCAAACGGUCACUGGAUUGAAUCCACAAGCCGACCAGGUGAAAAAUCUGUCGAUGUGCCCUUGAGCAUGGCACUUAACCCUAAUUGCUCUUGUAAGUGAGCAUCUGCUAAAUUAUUUAAAUGUCGGUGACUAAGGGUGACCGAUGUUGUUUACAAACAUCCUUCCAUGUGUGUCAUGCUAGUGAUGAAGCUGAGCUUGUUUUGCUUUGCACAACUAGUCAGAAAAAAACAAUAAUGCAGAAAGUGUGUGAUUUACUAAAGUAGGGUAUAUUACAAUCCACUUUGAUAACAAUAAUACAACUUUAAUAAACUAUAAAAACAUACAUGCUCCACCAAAGAAAUUCUAAGAGCAUUUAGGAGGUCAAAAGUAAUUUGUUUACAUGUUUACAAAAGCAUGUAGGCCUACUGAGAGAAAAAUAUAAAUACCUCUACAAGAAAAGCAACGUUAUGUGUAGGCUACAGUGUACACAGUACUUUGACAGAGGAUAGAUAGACACAUUGACUUGAGAGUAGUUGGGUGGGUGGGGGGCCCGUCUGGCUGUCUGUCUCACUACGUUGACCUAACUGUAGGCUAUAGGUCUGUCAACAAUCCAUGUGACUCUGGUUUGGUCAGCUAAAAUCCCUAUGGGAAUAGUCAAUACCAAAAUGUAGUUUACUUACAAAUCAACAGGAUAACUGGACAAAUAUGUAGAGGGAGAUCUGAAGCAGUAUUCCAAAUGUAUUUCCCCUUUUACCCCUCUCUCUGUGGAGCUGUCUGUCUAGACUGUUAUCAGUCUAUCGCCCUCUCUCGCUCCCUUCGUUCAUCCUGUUACUCCCUCGGCUCUUCUCCAGUUUGCUUGCAAUAACAAAAGGGGGAGAGAGAGUGAGUUGUCUAGGGCAAAAAAGUCGAGCCAAUCGCUGCGCCCGUUUCAUUCCAGACGGUGCGGCUCUCGGCCAACUAUGACGCUGCUCUCUUACAGCUCACAGCCAGCCACUGGGGGCUGAUGUCUGUCUGGGUUGCUUGUUGAUUGACAGGUCUGUGCGGCUGCUUUUUUUUUAUUAAAGUGGCGCCGGUGAGAUUACCCCGCCCAUUCUCGCUCCCCCCUGGUCCCACCAACUCCAGUGAAUCUCCUCUCUGUGUAGAAAAAAACAGAAUGCCUGUGUGACCAAACUCUGGACGCCGUUUCCCGAUAGCUAAACAACCGUGCGUAUGUAGAAUGAAGUUUUUAACAAACAAUACGGAUUGCAGCACAGAACAAAUUAAGUGUUUAACUAAACCACAGAUUGCAGCACCAAAAUGAAAUAAAAACGCAGUUACACUGGACAAACACGUACAAGGCCGGUGGUGGCUGUCCCGCUCCAGGAGUCUGAGGUGCAGGAGUUUCCUCCACCCCCUCUGGACAUCGAGGGGGCCCCGUUGUACUCUGUUCGUUCCACACUGGAUUUGAGACGUCGGGCGAGGGGCCUUCAGUACCUCAUGGACUGGGAGGGGUAUGGUCCGGAGGAGAAGAUGCUGGGUUCCGUUGGAGGACGUAUUGGAUCCUUAUAUGCUGCGAGACUUCCACCGUCUCCAUCCGGAUCUCCCUGCACCUCACCUCGACCUACAGGUCGUCCCAGAGGUCUGUGUCGACGUGCUGCUGGAUAUGCGCAUCAGGGGGGGGAGUACUGUCACGACUUAUGCCAAAGUCGGUCCCUCUCCUUGUUUGGGCGGUGUUUGGCGGUCGACGUCACCGAUCUUCUACCGAUCACUGAUCCAUUUUUCAUUUUCCAUUGGUUUUGUCUCGUCUUCCUUCACACCUGGUUCCAUCAAUUACAUGUUGUGUAUUUAACCCUCUGUUUCCCCUCAUGUCCUUGUUGAAGAUUUGUUUGUAUGUUAGUGCUAUUAUGUGUUGGUGCGCAACGGGUUUUGUACCCAUUUUAUUUAUUUUUUGUAUGUUUUGGAGUUUGUUUGUCUUUCUUAUUAAAUGACUCCGUUUAUACCAA